rnacentral:sRNA from 1 species
GCGCGCGGUCACGGGGCUCGCUCCCGAGGGGCAGGUCGGGGCUGGGAGCGGGAGCCGGGGUCGGGGUGGCGGCGGCGGCCUGGGCCGCGAGGUCGACGCCCGCUGCUGCAGCGGCAGAGGCCGAAGGACCUGCCGCGGCUCUGUCGCCGGAGAGGGAGGGCCCCGCUGCCGUCGGUGAAACCAGCCCAGAGAAGUUACGGGAUUUGCCCCUGGGUCUCCUGCCCAGCAAGCCAGCGCUGUGACCCAGGUGUGGGGGAUGAUGGUGAAACCUCUCACUCACAUGUGAAGGCUGGAGUGCAUUGGUGCGAUCUUGGCUCACUGCAACCUCCAUCUCCCAGCUGCUCUCCCUGAGCCUCGAU